AACAAACGCUGGCGGCGUGCAUAACACAUGCAAGUCUAAAGGGAAUGUCGGCUUCGGCUGACUAGUACCUUGGCGAACGGGUGAGUAACACGUGGGUAAUCUCCCCUCGAGUCUGGGAUAACCUUGCGAAAGCGGGGCUAAUACCGGAUAAGACCACGCCCUGUCUGCAGGGCGCGGUAAAAGGUGGCCUCUUCCUGAAAGCUAUCUCUUGAGGAUGAGCCCGCGGCCUAUUAGCUAGUUGGUAGGGUAACGGCCUACCAAGGCGACGAUGGGUAGCCGGCCUGAGAGGGUGUACGGCCACACUGGCACUGAGAUACGGGCCAGACUCCUACGGGUGGCAG
rnacentral:rRNA from 1 species